AUUGAACGCUGGCGGCAGGCUUAACACAUGCAAGUCGAGCGGGGUGAUGGUGCUUGCACUAUCACUUAGCGGCGGACGGGUGAGUAAUGCUUAGGAAUCUGCCUAUUAGUGGGGGACAACAUCUCGAAAGGGAUGCUAAUACCGCAUACGUCCUACGGGAGAAAGCAGGGGAUCACUUGUGACCUUGCGCUAAUAGAUGAGCCUAAGUCGGAUUAGCUAGUUGGUGGGGUAAAGGCCUACCAAGGCGACGAUCUGUAGCGGGUCUGAGAGGAUGAGCAGCCACACUGGGACUGAGACACGGACCAGACUCCUACGGGAGGCAGCAGUGGGGAAUAUUGGACAAUGGGGGGAACCCUGAUCCAGCCAUGCCGCGUGUGUGAAGAAGGCCUUAUGGUUGUAAAGCACUUUAAGCGAGGAGGAGGCUCUUUUGGUUAAUACCCAAGAUGAGUGGACGUUACUCGCAGAAUAAGCACCGGCUAACUCUGUGCCAGCCGCCGCGGUAA
rnacentral:rRNA from 1 species